rnacentral:rRNA from 1 species
UACGUAGGGUGCAAGCGUUAAUCGGAAUUACUGGGCGUAAAGCGUGCGCAGGCGGUGAUGUAAGACAGAUGUGAAAUCUCCCGGCUCAACUGGGAAACUGCAUCGGAAACUGAUCGGCUUGAAGAUGGGAGAGGGUAGUGGAAUUCCCGGUGUAGUGGUGAAAUGCGUAGAUAUCGGGAGGAACACCAGUGGCGAAGGCGACUACCUGGCCCAUUCUUGACGCUGAGGCGCGAAAGCUAGGGGAGCGAACGGG